rnacentral:rRNA from 1 species
GUGAAUCAUCGAAUCUUUGAACGCACCUUGCGCUCCUUGGUAUUCCGAGGAGCAUGCCUGUUUGAGUGUCAUUAAUAUAUAUCAACCUCUUCGGCUCUGCUUGUUGAGUGCUGGAUGUUGGGGGGGAAUAGUAUUCUUUUUUGCUGGCCUUUCUUUUGAGGUCAGCUCCCCUAAAAUAUAUUAGCGGGACAAUUUGUUGAUCGUUCACUGGUGUGAUAACUAUAUCUACGCUUUUGAUGUGAGACAGGUUCAGCUUCUAAUGGUCCCAUUGACUUGGACAACUUUUAUUAAUGUGACCUCAAAUCAGGUAGGACUACCCGCUGAACUUAAGCAUAUCAAUAAGCGGAGG